CUAAACUUGAGCUCACUUGUCACAAUGGAAUUUAAUUAUCUGCUGGAGAGAAGCCCUGACAGCUGUGGCGUAGGUUUUUCAAUGUGAUGUUGCUGGAUCGCAAGAAAAAUAUCAAGGGCUGGUGAGAACAGCCAUGUUCUAAAAGCAUCUCUGGCUGGGUUAGCCCACUGCCUACCAAAGAGGGCGUAAGUUGGAAGAGUUGGAAGCACAGUGUUUGUUUACCACAUUGCCCCUGGGUUUGCCUCUGGCUUGUGCAUCCUGGGGGAGAGGCAGUGGGUCUGCUACUGGUUCCUCAAACAUUGACAUCUGUGUUGGCCUUCUGUAGUGAAACCAUUUUCCUAGCAGCAGCAUCAGGCUCUUCUCCACACUAUUUCCCUUAUCAGCACACUGCGUGGUGCGUACGCAGUGUCUCGGUGCAGCCGGGUGAGUGUGUUGUCUGCACAGUAAUCACCAAGAACAAAGACUCGUCUGCACGGUCAGUGAGCAGGGCUGGGGGCCGUGUGCCACACGUGUGCCUGAGACACUGCCUGGCUUUGCAGGGCUGUGGCAGGAGGGAGCUGAGCCUGUGCAAGCCCCAAACCACACUCAGCGCCCACCUUGCAUGGCUUGGGGCCCACAGGCACCGGUCACUGUGUCCCACAGGAGCCAUCCCAAGCACAGGAGAGUGGGAAGUGCUCCUUGGCCAUGCUCAUCCAUGGCAUCAGGGAUCAGCACUGUGAGGACAGGAAGUGGCAACCUGCCUUUUUAAAGUUCUUGAGGAACUUUGACACAGUUUGAUACUUUCAUAUCGGUGUUCCUUGCCAAAGACAAGGGAAAUCCUACGAUUGUAGUAAAUAUUUAUCUUAAACGAAAUGAGAAUAAUUAAAUGGCACUUUCAUUGCCAUAUUCUAUUCAAUUAUGCUGACUAUUAAC